ACUUGAUCAUGUGGCCAUUUAUGGAGCAAGUCCCUAAAACGCUCCCAAGUCUCAAAAACAAGUUCCCUAUCCAUAUGUGAGAAACUUGUUAUGGCUCUCUGAAGCU